rnacentral:misc_RNA from 1 species
GCAAGAAUUUGGAUUUUGGAGGUUCAAUAUCAUUUUUUAACAUGGGAGUUUUCAAAUCUUUACUAGAUGAAUGUUUAUUUUCUUUAUCUUUUUCGAAGAAGGUUUUGAUUUCCAAUUUCCAUGUCGGCAAAUUAUAAAAUACACCAGGUGCAUUCGAUAAUUUCCCUUCUAUGUCAAUUUGGUUUUUGCUAAGAGCUGAAUAUUUCUUGCUGUACCACUGUUAGGUUUUCUUUCCAACUUGAGAAGAUUAACCAAGUGCCUUUGAGUAGUAAAACUCUUAUUACUGCACUCAAGUCCCAAAAGCAUGUUAGGGUACAUUUAAUUGGUCGUUAUUAUUGUUAUUGAGCUAGUAGAUGUACAUUGAGCUCAUUCUUAUACUCUGUUGACCCAAUUAAAUUCUAAUUUUCUUUUAUCUCUGUUGGUUAUUUCCAACUUAAAAAUUUGUCAUUUGUACUUAUGGCUCAUUAAAAGGAGUAACUGCCUACUACAACGCUUGUGAUAGAGAAAUCAAAUCACUCUCUUCUGGGUACAUGCUUGCAUAAAAAUUCUUCUUGUGUAGGAUGAGAUUGACCAAAUGGGACAACUGAUACUGAACUGCCAUUGGCACAUUUAGUCCUUUGGACAUUUAAAACUCUUUUGUGGGGGCAUGAUUACAUAAAAUUCCUUGUUGCAUAGGAUGAGACUGACCAAAUGAGACAGCUGAUUCUCAACUUCCUUUGUCAUACGUAGUCCUUUGGACAUUUAAAAGUGUUUAAGAGAGGUUUUGGAAGAGAUAGUUCUUUAGUGCUUGUAUCUAGCUUUAGCGCUUGUAUCUAGCUUUAGUACUUUGUCAGUCAGUUGGCAAGACAAGUUGGUAAGUCAGUUCAUUGCAAGUAGCUUGUAGAUGAAAGCUUCCUUCCUAUUUCAGUCCCCAACAACCUAAAUAGUUGCCUUAAUAUUUUAAGCUUUGAACAACUUCUAAACUAUCUAUUGUAUAUCCUCCCUGUCAGCUAACAGUUUUCUUUCACCAUUGCUAAAAGCUAAGUUUUAAGGAAAAAAUUUGUUAGAUGUGA